rnacentral:tRNA from 1 species
UCUUUAGUAGGUGUUAUAUGCACGGGAACAUUUGAUUUUCCAAGAGAGUUUUCACUCACAGAGAG